rnacentral:rRNA from 1 species
AUGUACCUAUUGUUCAUUGCAUUCGAGGGAGAGGACAACAAGAUUAAGAGAGCCUUGGGACGCGAAGGCAGUAGCAUGCAGCGCCAGGUCAAGCGCACCGACCUCGAUGACAAGAGAUCAGUACACUUAACAAGAUACAUCAAUGUUACUUCCAAAGCAGAGUCCCUCCUAGAGGACAGUUUCUUUUAUCAGAAGGAGUCAAAUUUGUUCUUCUCACAAGCUGGAUCAUCGCAUAACUUAUUGGUGGUUGCACUAGCUGAACUUUGUUAUAAGUUCUGGGGCGCAUUGUAUAUCAUAGAUACAGUGUAUGUAAUUUUCUUGGUUUUUUCUUUCAAUCAAUUAACUUUUAAUGCUCACUAA